CCUACCUCAAACUCGAAAACCUAAUUGUUACCGAGGAAGUGCAGCCCUUUCAUUUGAAUCCUGAGAAAGUGGCGCUCAAAGAACGAGGAGAACAAAGGGUGGGGACCCUUGGAAGAACUUGGUCCUUUUAAAUGCUAAAUAGUGGUCUGGGAAGUUUGAACUCAUUCUUCCAACUCCACACACCUUAGCUACUCCCCGUAACUGCUUCUGCUGCUAAAUUGACGCUGGAAUAUAGAAAUCUAAGAGAAAGAACUUUGAAAACUCCUGGAAGUUACAAAUACCUGUGUCCUGGUGUUCAGUAAGUCAUUUAUCAAGCUCCACCCCUAAGCCAGUCACUUCAAGGUGAGAAGUGGAGGCUGACAAUCUGAGAUGCUGCACUCUUAUUCUGUCAUUUAACAGUUCUUCCUACCUGCACAUUCUCCCUCUCCAUCCCCUC
rnacentral:lncRNA from 1 species